rnacentral:tRNA from 1 species
UACGGGCGUAGCUCAAUUGGCAGAGCAGCGGAUUCCAAAUCCGCAGGUUGGGAGUUCAAAUCUCUCCGCCCGUGU